rnacentral:hammerhead_ribozyme from 1 species
GUACUGUUGAGGAGUCCCAAAACAGGACGAAACAACUGUCUAGUAU